rnacentral:rRNA from 1 species
UACGGGAGGCAGCAGUGGGGAAUAUUGCACAAUGGGCGCAAGCCUGAUGCAGCCAUGCCGCGUGUAUGAAGAAGGCCUUCGGGUUGUAAAGUACUUUCAGUCGUGAGGAAGGUGUUAAGGUUAAUAACCUUAGCAAUUGACGUUAGCGACAGAAGAAGCACCGGCUAACUCCGUGCCAGCAGCCGCGGUAAUACGGAGGGUGCGAGCGUUAAUCGGAAUUACUGGGCGUAAAGGGCACGCAGGCGGUUAAUUAAGUUGGAUGUGAAAUCCCCGGGCUUAACCUGGGAAUGGCAUUCAAGACUGGUUAGCUAGAGUCUUGUAGAGGGGGUAGAAUUCCAUGUGUAGCGGUGAAAUGCGUAGAGAUGUGGAGGAAUACCGGUGGCGAAGGCGGCCCCUGGGACAAAGACUGACGCUCAUGUGCGAAAGCGUGGGGAGCGAAACAGGAUUUAGAUACC